CAGAAAUUGCACAUUGAUCCACUGUAAGCGAUUGUACAUUGUGGAAGAGUCUCCCUUGGAUUCCACCAUGCCAGAGCGCAGGGAAUUUAGAUGCUUGAAAAUAUGUCGAUAGGCUGGAUUCUAUGGUUGCAUUAAGGUUUCCCUCCCAGUGCUGUUGAUUUGCCAAUUCUAUUCCUCGUAACUUUGGUGUGUUUAGAACUCCGAAAGAGAAAAUCUUCAUCUGUAAGCAUAUAUUAACUUUAACAUUUUCUAAAGAUGGGAAAUUGAAGGCGUGAUUCCCUGAGCAAAAGCUGAUAAGACUAGACAGAUAAGUAAGUUCCAAAAUUUGUAGUUUGCUGAAAAUAAUCUCAUCCUCUUGAUCAACUCCAUCGCUUGUCACUAUUUC
rnacentral:misc_RNA from 1 species